CAGCUUGUAGUUUAUUUAAAAUUUAAUCUUUGGGAGUUUAUGAAGUAUAUAUUAUACUUAGCUGA
rnacentral:tRNA from 1 species